rfam:Staphylococcus carnosus subsp. carnosus TM300 complete genome
GCCGGCCUAGCUCAACUGGUAGAGCAACUGACUUGUAAUCAGUAGGUUGGGGGUUCAAGUCCUCUGGCCGGCA